rnacentral:rRNA from 1 species
GACGAACGCUGGCGGCGUGCUUAACACAUGCAAGUCGAACGCUGAAGCUCAGCUUUUGUUGGGUGGAUGAGUGGCGAACGGGUGAGUAACACGUGAGUAACCUGCCUCCUUCUUUGGGAUAACGCCCGGAAACGGGUGCUAAUACUGGAUAUUCACUGGUCUUCGCAUGGGGGUUGGUGGAAAGGGUUUUUCUGGUGGGGGAUGGGCUCGCGGCCUAUCAGCUUGUUGGUGGGGUGAUGGCCUACCAAGGCUUUGACGGGUAGCCGGCCUGAGAGGGUGACCGGUCACAUUGGGACUGAGAUACGGCCCAGACUCCUGCGGGAGGCAGCAGGGGGGAAUAUUGCAGAAUGGGCGCAAGCCUGAUGCAGCGACGCCGCGUGAGGGAUGGAGGCCUGCGGGUUGUGAACCUCUUUCGCUCAUGGUCAAGCCGCAACAAUGGUUGUGGUGAGGGUAGUGGGUAAAGAAGCGCCGGCUAACUACGUG